rnacentral:lncRNA from 1 species
CAGUUUAUGGUGGUAACUGAAAGACAGCAGGUUUUGAUUGUGUAAAGUUUUUCACUUUCUGAUAAAUAACACAAAAAUACAAGAAGAUGCUGACAAAAUUACAGUUGGGCAGGUGUUGAAACAAAGAGUUUUUAAACACCUGUUUACGUGACGUUUUAUGGUAUACCGUUGUCUGUCUGUCCAUCCGUCGUCAACUACCUUUUUUGUUUUUUACAAAAACUUUAAAACAAGAACGAUAACUAUCUUUACUAUACUGUAAACCAACUUAUUUUCACAAAUGCUUUAUUUUGCAUUUAGCCCUUUCUGGUUUAAUUUCACGAUUUUCAAAUUAACUUGAUGUAGUUAGGUACAUUUUUGUAAGGGAAAAUCAGAGUUAACUUUUAGCAACGAUUUUUACUCGCGUUUUUCUUAUGCUUGUGAAAGUUGCCUAAAUAUACACAUUGAUACAUAGAUCUGUCUGUUAAAAGAUUGAAGUGAUGAUUUUCAUAGUAUAAAUGAUGUAUUUAAAUGCAAAAUUUAAAAACCUAGUCUUAAGUUUUCAUUGGUUUAUAGUGAAUCAUGACAGAAUUGCAGGUUGACCCGAUACACUUGUACUUGAUUAUAUGAAUUAGUAAAAUAAGAUAAAAAAAUUAUACCUACCGAUAAUAUUUUUAGAAAUUAGGAAACCCUCUCUAAACAAACGUUUUUUCUUAAUGCUUUGUGUAUAUCUUUUUUUCAGGCCUAUGUUGUCUUAGGACAGUUUUUAGUGCUGAAAAAAGAUGAAGAUAUGUUUAAAGAUUGGUUGAAAGAUUGACUGGGAAGCCACUUCAAAAACAACAGAAUUGCUGCUUUCAUGCUUAAAAGAGUGGUGUGAUCUAAUUCCUUGUGAAUGUUGUAUCAGUACGAUAAAAAUGUAAAACUAUUAUCAUCUUAUAAAUGUGGAACCUUUUAUCAUCUUGCAAGUGUUUUAUUGGUCAGCAUUUAAUGUAUCUCUGUUAAUCAACCAAGGACAUUUAUUGUGUAUUAUCAAAUACGAAUAUUCUGAAUUAAAAGUUUGAAAAUAAAAUACACAUUUUUUAAUAUGUUAAUAAUCAUGAUAAUAAUUCAAUAUAGAUCUGUCUGUGUAACAAAGUACAUUU